UACAGAGCCAAAACAAUAAACAAAUGUGUCACUUUUCAAGUACUUUUGGAUCUCAGUGAAUCUCGAUUUGUAGAGAACAUAAAAUAAUUCACCGUGGGGAUCAAACUUGAUCGCAAAAAACUAAUUUUAGAGCCCAAAACGGCCGUCUACAAAUGUUGGUUUGUCCGUUCUGGUGAUCUUCAUUUAUAUAGGCUUUCUAGGGCAAAACCAGGGCAAGACAAGGCACUCUUUCCUGACUGGGGUGGAGUCAGGUCAGGAAAAUAUUUGUCCUCAGAUCGAGAGCAUCCUGACUGACUGGUUGCAUCACCGCCUGUUAUGGCAACUGCUCGGUCUCUGACCACAAGGCACUACAAAAGGAUAAUGCUUACGGAUUUGCCAAGGACUCCAGCCACCCUAGUCAUAGACUGUUCUCUCUGCUACCGCACGGCAAGUAGUACUCGAGCACCGAGUCUAGGUCCAAAAGGCUUCUUAACAGCUUCUACCCCCAAGUCAUCAGUCUCCUGAACAGCUAAUCAAAUGGCUACCUGGACUAUUUGCAUUGACCCCCCCCCCUUUACGCUGCUUAUACUCUCUGUUAUUAUCUAUGCAUAGUCACUUUACCUCUACCUAUAUGUAUAUAUUACCUCAAUUACCUCGACUAACCGGUGCCCCCACGCAUUGACGCUGUACCGGUACCCCCUGUAUGUAGCCUCGUUAGUUAUUUUAUUGUUGCUCUUGAAUUAUUUGUUAUUUUUCUAUUUUUGUUUAUUUUAGUAAAUACUUUCUUAACACUUUUCUAAAAAAAUGCAUUGUUGGUUAAGGGCUUGUAAGCAAGCAUUUCACUGUACGGUCAACACCUGUUGUAUUCGGCGAAUGUGACAAAUACAAUUUGAUUUGAUUCAAUGUUUUGAUUUGAGACAUGUAUUCCGUGUUUGAUUACUGUCAGUACAAUCCCUCUUUGUAUUGUGUUGCACCAUUGGGUUGAAGGGGCAAAGUUAUUCUACUCAUACUGUAAAGACUUUUAUCAGUAAAAAUGAUUAACCUGACAAUAAUUACGUGAGGGUUUAAUUAUAGAACAACGCACAGGCCAUGUUAGGAUAAUGGUUCAAGAUAAUCGGAUAAUUGUUCUCAAGAAAAUGUUUUGAAGUACGAAAUUACCAAUUAAAAGUAAA
ensembl:lncRNA